GAGUUUGAUCAUGGCUCAGGAUGAACGCUAGCGGCAGGCCUAAUACAUGCAAGUCGAAUGAUAUUUCUAGUUUACUAGAGAAAAAGUGGCGCACGGGUGCGUAACGCGUAUGCAACCUACCUUAAUCAGGGGGAUAGCCCGAAGAAAUUCGGAUUAACACCGCAUAAAAUCACAGUACAGCAUUGUACAAUGAUCAAAUAUUUAUAGGAUUAAGAUGGGCAUGCGUGACAUUAGCUAGUUGGCGGGGUAACGGCCCACCAAGGCUACGAUGUCUAGGGGAUCUGAGAGGAUGACCCCCCACACUGGUACUGAGACACGGACCAGACUCCUACGGGAGGCAGCAGUAAGGAAUAUUGGUCAAUGGAGGCAACUCUGAACCAGCCAUGCCGCGUGCAGGAAGACAGCCCUCUGGGUCGUAAACUGCUUUUAUUCGGGAAUAAACCUCAUUACGUGUAAUGAGCUGAAUGUACCGAAGGAAUAAGGAUCGGCUAACUCCGUGCCAGCAGCCGCGGUAAUACGGAGGAUCCAAGCGUUAUCCGGACUUAUUGGGUUUAAAGGGUGCGUAGGCGGCUUUUUAAGUCAGGG
rnacentral:rRNA from 1 species